GAUGAACGCUGGCGGCGUGCCUAAUACAUGCAAGUCGAGCGAAUGGAUUGAGAGCUUGCUCUUAUGAAGUUAGCGGCGGACGGGUGAGUAACACGUGGGUAACCUGCCCAUAAGACUGGGAUAACUCCGGGAAACCGGGGCUAAUACCGGAUAACAUUUUGAACCGCCUGGUUCGAAAUUGAAAGGCGGCUUGCGCUGUCACUUAUGGAUGGACACGCGUCGCAUUAGCUAGUUGGUGAGGUAACGGCUAACCAAGGCAACGAUGCGUAGCCGACCUGAGAGGGUGAUCGGCCACACUGGGACUGAGACACGGCCCAGACUCCUACGGGAGGCAGCAGUAGGGAAUCUUCCGCAAUGGACGAAAGUCUGACGGAGCAACGCCGCGUGAGUGAUGAAGGCUUUCGGGUCGUAAAACUCUGUUGUUAGGGAAGAACAAGUGCUAGUUGAAUAAGCUGGCACCUUGACGGUACCUAACCAGAAAGCCACGGCUAACUACGUGCCAGCCGCCGCCGUAA
rnacentral:rRNA from 1 species